GUGGGGAAUUUUGGACAAUGGGCGCAAGCCUGAUCCAGCAAUGCCGCGUGCAGGAAGAAGGCCUUCGGGUUGUAAACUGCUUUUGUACGGAACGAAAAGGCUCUGGUUAAUACCUGGGGCUCAUGACGGUACCGUAAGAAUAAGCACCGGCUAACUACGUGCCAGCAGCCGCGGUAAUACGUAGGGUGCAAGCGUUAAUCGGAAUUACUGGGCGUAAAGCGUGCGCAGGCGGUUUUGUAAGACAGAGGUGAAAUCCCCGGGCUCAACCUGGGAAUUGCCUUUGUGACUGCAAGGCUGGAGUGCGGCAGAGGGGGAUGGAAUUCCGCGUGUAGCAGUGAAAUGCGUAGAUAUGCGGAGGAACACCGAUGGCGAAGGCAAUCCCCUGGGCCUGCACUGACGCUCAUGCACGAAAGCGUGGGGAGCAAACAGGAUUAGAUACCCCGGUAGUCC
rnacentral:rRNA from 1 species